CCUACGGGGGGCAGCAGUGAGGAAUAUUGGUCAAUGGCCGCAGGUCUGAACCAGCCAAGUCGCGUGAGGGAUGACGGUCCUAUGGAUUGUAAACCUCUUUUGUCAGGGAGCAAAGUGCUCCACGUGUGGCGUUUUGCGAGUACCUUAAGAAAAAGCAUCGGCUAACUCCGUGCCAGCAGCCGCGGUAAUACGGAGGAUGCGAGCGUUAUCCGGAUUUAUUGGGUUUAAAGGGUGCGCAGGCGGGUUUGUAAGUCAGGCGUGAAAAUUUGGGGCUCAACCCCGGCAGUGCCGUUGAACAUGGCAGUCUUGAGUGCAGUAGAGGUAUGCGGAAUGCGUGGUGUAGCGGUGAAAUGCUUAGAUAUCACGAAGAACUCCGAUUGCGAAGGCAGUACACUGGAGUGCAACUGACACUGAUGCACGAAAGUGUGGGUAUCGAACAGGAUUAGAUACCCCUGUAGUC
rnacentral:rRNA from 1 species